UAAACAACAGGUUUGAUCUCAGCCUUUCUAUUAACUCUUAGCAAGAUUACACAUGCAAGUAUCCAAACCCCAGUGAAAUAACCCUCUAAAUCGCUACAAUCAAAGGACUAAGUAUCAAGCACCCACUAAUGUACUUCAAAACACUUAGCUCAGCCACAACCUGAUGGAAAACAGCAGUGAUAAACCUUUAGCAAUAAAUGAAAGUUUAACUAAGCUAUGCUAGUAUAGUAAUUAGAGUUGGUUAAUUUCGUGCCAGCCACCAUGGCCAUACGAUUAACCCAAGCUAAUACAGACCAGCAUAUAAAGAGUGUUUUAGAUAUGACCUCCAUAAAGCUAAAUUCCAUCUAAAUUGUAAAAAACCAUAGCUGAUAUAAAAUAAAAUAUGAAAGUGGCUUUAGUACUUCUGAACAGACAAUAGCUAAGAUCCAAACUGGGAUUAGAUACCCCACUAUGCUUAGCCCUAAACCCUAAUAGUUAAAUUAACAAAACUAUUCGCCAGAAUGCUACAAGCAACAGCUUAAAACUCAAAGGACUUGGCAGUGCUUCACAUCCUUCUAGAGGAGCCUGUACUAUAACUGAUAAACCCCGAUCUACCUCACCACCUCUUGCUCAGCCUAUAUACCGCCAUCCUCAGCAAACCCUAGUAAAGGCCACAAAGUAAGCACAAGUAUACUCGUAAAAAUGUUAGGUCAAGGUGUAGCCUAUGAGGUGGUAAGAAAUGGGCUACAUUUUCUACCCAAGAAAAUUCCACGAUAGCUCUUAUGAAAUCUAAAAGCCUAAGGAGGAUUUAGCAGUAAAUUAAGAGCAGAGGGCUUAAUUGAAUAAGGGCAUAAAGCAUGCACACACUGCCCAUCACCCUCCUCAAGUAUAUUUAAGGACUAACUUAACUAAUCACCCCUCAUAUUUAUAUAGAGGAGAUAAGUCAUAACACGGUAAGUGUACAGGAAGGUGCACUUCGAUAAACGAAGGU
rnacentral:ncRNA from 1 species